GCGGUCGUGGCGGAAUUGGCAGACGCGCAAGAUUCAGGUUCUUGUGGGUGCAAGCCCGUGGAGGUUCAAGUCCUUUCGACCGCACCA
rnacentral:tRNA from 1 species